ensembl:ncRNA C49F8.8 ncRNA
UUGUGCGUUGCACACAUCACGAUGCACGCACACUAAGUCAAGGCAGCCAAGGAAACAAAGUUUCGGGUAUUUUUUGUCGUCAAGAAAUGAACACGGCACGUGAAGGCGCAUGUGAAUGAGAGGAUGCGUUGCACCCGACCGUCACCAUCGAAAUUAAAAUUGAGCUACGCAUUCUUUGAGU